UUAUCUUAGUGGCGGACGGGUGAGUAACGCGUGAGCAACCUGCCUUUCAGAGGGGGAUAACGUCUUGAAAAGGACGCUAAUACCGCAUGAUAUUAUGGAGCCACAUGGCUCUAUAAUCAAAGGAGCAAUCCGCUGAAAGAUGGGCUCGCGUCCGAUUAGGUAGUUGGCGGGAUAACAGCCCACCAAGCCGACGAUCGGUAGCCGGACUGAGAGGUUGAACGGCCACAUUGGGACUGAGACACGGCCCAGACUCCUACGGGAGGCAGCAGUGAGGGAUAUUGGUCAAUGGGGGAAACCCUGAACCAGCAACGCCGCGUGAGGGAUGACGGCCUUCGGGUUGUAAACCUCUGUCCUCUGUGAAGAUAAUGACGGUAGCAGAGGAGGAAGCUCCGGCUAACUACGUGCCAGCAGCCGCGGUAAUACGUAGGGAGCAAGCGUUGUCCGGAUUUACUGGGUGUAAAGGGUGCGUAGGCGGUUUGGUAAGUCAGAAGUGAAAUCCAUGGGCUUAACCCAUGAACUGCUUUUGAAACUAUCGAACUUGAGUGAAGUAGAGGUAGGCGGAAUUCCCGGUGUUAGCUGGUGAAAUGCGUAGAGAUCGGGAGGAACACCAGUGGCGAAGGCGGCCUACU
rnacentral:rRNA from 1 species